GAAGAGGAAAUCAAUGAUGAGGACAGAAUGAGGAGGAAAACAAAGAGGAAGAGGAAGCUAUGAGUAAAGCAAGAGAGUCUCAUCUAGUUGUUGCGGCACUGAUAGCAACUGUAACAUUUGCAGCAGCAUUUACCCUACCUGGCGGUUACAAUAGCGA